GUUCCUACGGGGGGCAGCAGUAGGGAAUAUUGCACAAUGGGGGAAACCCUGAUGCAGCGACGCCGCGUGAAGGAUGAAGUAUUUCGGUAUGUAAACUUCUAUCAGCAAGGAAGAAAAUGACGGUACUUGACUAAGAAGCCCCGGCUAAAUACGUGCCAGCAGCCGCGGUAAUACGUAUGGGGCAAGCGUUAUCCGGAUUUACUGGGUGUAAAGGGAGCGUAGGCGGCCACGCAAGUCAGAAGUGAAAACCCGGGGCUCAACCCUGGGAGUGCUUUUGAAACUGUGCGGCUAGAGUGUCGGAGGGG
rnacentral:rRNA from 1 species